rfam:Haemonchus contortus, ISE/inbred ISE, WGS project CAVP01000000 data, contig: Hcontortus_33990
GGGACGGUGGUUAAGUGGUAGGAUGCUCGCCUGUCACGCGGGCGGCCUGGAUUCGAUUCCCGGCCGAUGCG